GGGCGCGUAGCUCAACUGGCAGAGCAAGUGGCUCUUAACCACUAGGUUGAAGGUUCGAUUCCUUCCGCGCUCACCA
rnacentral:tRNA from 1 species